CACUAAUCCCACAAAUGAUUCUGCUCCUUGGAUUCCUUUCCCUCACAUCACAUCCGCCCUUUUCAUCCACCUGAACUGCAUGAGAAACUUGUUCGAUGCAUUCACAGGAACGAUGCAGCAUCUGUCUGGCUUUAAAGUAUAAGGGAUCGAAUAUUAUUGGAAUGCAGGCACUAGAUGGAUUCUAAACAAGAACAUAUGCCCAAUUUGCAAUAGAAAACUCUAGU